UGCAGUGUACCAGCUACCUCUACAGUUCGACUUUGGCGCUGCUGAAGUCCAUGCCAACCUUUGAAAAAGAGGAAAUUGGUCCAGGAGAGAAAGGACUAUGUCAAGAAGCCCCUCAACGCCUUCAUGGUCUACGCAAAGGAGCAGCGUCCUGCGUUGAAAGAGUUGCUUGCCAACAAAGACAGUGCCACCAUAAAUAAACUGCUGGGACAGAUGGGGAGUUUGUCCAUUGGCCCGGCCGACGCACUGUUGUUGUUACUGCAAUUGUACGUUUUUUUGUGUUGACACUCUUGUCAUUUUGUCCACAGUGGAAAACACUCCCCUCUAGUGACAGACAAAAAUAUUUGGAUGAACAGGUGCGCUUGGACCGGGAGCACGCCACAAAAUAUCCCAACUGGUCGGCCCGCGACAACUAUGGCAAAAGAAAGAGAAGAACGUGUUCCCUGGCAUCACGUAAGUUUCUUUUUUUCCCUUCAAAUCCAUUUUGGAGUUUACAGUUUUUCAUUAUUGUUAACACAUAUUUUUUCGAUACAAUAACAGAUUUCUCAAUACAGCGCACACAAAAGGCUAAACAUGACACUCCUUUUGCAAGAAGUCUGUUGCCAUCAAAUCUGUACAUUGUGUUCACUCGUGUUUUCAUUUUCUACACAGUUGUAUUUCCACUGACACACAUACCAUAUAUUGAGUACGCACAGCUAAGGUUUUGCUGCACACUACCUAGCAUUUACAGCACAUUGUACUGCAAAACUGAAAUCACAAUAGUCCAAUGGAACACACCAUAUGAAUGAAAAUGAAUCUGUAAAAUAAGAUAUUUCCCCUUUUGAAACUAUGACUUGAUAUAGCCUACUUUUUCAUGAAACAAACUUUCAAACAGCUCACAAAAAUGCAGCCAUUUCCCCCCCUUUUUUGUACAUGAUUGAAGAUUUAUCAUGAUGAUGCAUCAUCAUGACUUUGAUUUCUGUCAGGCCAGAGGGGGGCGUCCACAUCACAAUCAAUGUUUUAUCGAUUUAGACAUCUCUGGAAGAACCGGGCUUGUGUGGAUCGAAUUGAAAGCUGCAUUAUUAUUAUGUUGGACGAAAAGUACGUGAAGUUAAGGUUUUGUGUUUUAACAAUCGUGAAAAACUGUAUCCUUUCCAAGAUUAUUCAUUAUCAUUGUAUUUUUUUAGAAAAAAUACAAUGUUAAAUGUAAUCUUAUUUUAAGUUGUGGGUGGUCAUCAGUGAUUUUUUUUUCUUCCCGGGUUGUACGAGCCAACUCCCCGCUGCCUCUCCAGACGCUGCCUAUCGGGUCGCCUUGUAUCCGGUUUCUGCCUAUCAGGUCGCUGUAUCUCCAGUUGCUGCCUAUCCAGUCGCUGCUGCUCCGGUCGUGGACUAUCUGGUUUAUGCCUAUUUGGAUGCUGCCUAUCCAGUCGGUUCUUAUAUGGUCAAUGCUGCUGUGGCCCCUGCUCCAAUUGUCUCCCCCGUCACCUAUCUGCCACCCUCCUCUUCCGACAUGACAGCAGAGCACAACCUUGAGCAGGAAUUCAAUGAAUUUUUACUAGAGCUGGCAAAUCAGCCCAUCGAUCAAUGGCCAGAUGAUCUCUUAAAUUUGUAAAUAGUGUAUAUUUUAAAAUGUUGU